rnacentral:rRNA from 1 species
AGUGAACGCUGGCGGUAGGCCUAACACAUGCAAGUCGAACGGCAGCACAGUAAGAGCUUGCUCUUACGGGUGGCGAGUGGCGGGCGGGUGAGGAAUACAUCGGAAUCUACUUUUUCGUGGGGGAUAACGUAGGGAAACUUACGCUAAUACCGCAUACGACCUACGGGUGAAAGCAGGGGAUCUUCGGACCUUGCGCGAUUGAAUGAGCCGAUGUCGGAUUAGCUAGUUGGCGGGGUAAAGGCCCACCAAGGCGACGAUCCGUAGCUGGUCUGAGAGGAUGAUCAGCCACACUGGAACUGAGACACGGUCCAGACUCCUACGGGAGGCAGCAGUGGGGAAUAUUGGACAAUGGGCGCAAGCCUGAUCCAGCCAUACCGCGUGGGUGAGGAAGGCCUUCGGGUUGUAAAGCCCUUUUGUUGGGAAAGAAAAGCAGCAGGUUAAUACCCCGCUGUUCUGACGGUACCCAAAGAAUAAGCACCGGCUAACUUCGUG